rnacentral:rRNA from 1 species
AGCGCAGGCGGUACGGCAAGUCUGAUGUGAAAGCCCGGGGCUCAACCCCGGUACUGCAUUGGAAACUGUCGAACUAGAGUGUCGGAGGGGUAAGUGGAAUUCCUAGUGUAGCGGUGAAAUGCGUAGAUAUUAGGAGGAACACCAGUGGCGAAGGCGGCUUACUGGACGAUAACUGACGCUGAGGCUCGAAAGCGUGGGGAGCAAACA